AACGCACCUUGCGCUCCUUGGUAUUCCGAGGAGCAUGCCUGUUUGAGUGUCAUUAAUAUAUCAACCUCUUUAAAUUUUGAGAGUGUUUGGAUGUGGGGGUGUUAUUUUGCUGGCCUUCUCCAAGGUCAGCUCCCCUGAAAUGUAUUAGCGGAACAAUUUGUUGACCGUUCAUUGGUGUGAUAGCAUAUCUACGCUAUUGACGUAAAGCAAGUUCGGCUUAUAACAGUCCAUUGACUUGGACAAUUCUCUAUUUAUUAAUGUGACCUCAAAUCAGGUAGGACUACCCGCUGAACUUAA
rnacentral:misc_RNA from 1 species